rnacentral:rRNA from 1 species
GAUCAUGGCUCAGAUUGAACGCUGGCGGCAGGCCUAACACAUGCAAGUCGAGCGGCAGCACAAGGGGGUUUACUUCUGAGGUGGCGAGCGGCGGACGGGUGAGUAAUGCCUAGGGAUCUGCCCAGUCGAGGGGGAUAACAGUUGGAAACGACUGCUAAUACCGCAUACGCCCUACGGGGAAAGGAGGGGACCUUCGGCCUUCCGCGAUUGGAUGAACCUAGGUGGGAUUAGCUAGUUGGUGNGGUAAUGG